rnacentral:lncRNA from 1 species
AUGAACUUUGGUCUUCUCUGCAAUCCAUCUGGAACAUUCAGUGACAACAUCAACUUUGAAGUUGCACUGACCUGGCCGGCCCUGCCACUCACCAGCUCUUUUAGGUCCUUUGCAUUUGGAUAUAAACUUCAGAAUCAGGUUGUCUAUUCCAACAACAACAACAAAAUGAAACUUUCAGAAAGUUUAAUUGAAAUUGUAUUGAAUCCACAGACAAUUUUGGAGUAAAUCGCAUCUUGGCAAUACUGAGUCCAACCAUUACCAGGUAAGUCUCUCCAUUUACUUAAAUAUUAAGUUUUUUUUAACAAUGGCUUCUGGCCAGGCACGUGGCUCACGCCUGUAAUCCCAGUACUUUGGGAGGACAAGGCGGGCGGAUCACCAGGUCAGGAGUUCAAGACCAGCCUGAUCAACAUGGUAAAACCCCGUCUCUACUGAAAAAAAAUACAAAAAAAAAAAAAUAGCCAGGUGUGGUGGCACUUUCCUGUAGUCCCACCUACGCAGGAGGCUGAGGCAGGAGAAUCGCUUGAACCUGGGAGGCAGAGGGUGCAGUGAGCCAAGAUCAUGUCACUGCACUCCAGCCUGGGAGAUAGGGUGAGGCUCCAUCUAAAAAAAAAAAAAAAAAAAAAAAGGCUUCCAAUUUCCAGUAUGGAGGUCUUGGAAACUAUAAUUUACAUGAACUUCUAAUUCUAUAUUUUUUGGUGUUAUUAUAAACAUUGUUGUUUUAAAAGUUGUCUUCAAAUUUUUGUUGUCAGUGCAUAGAAAUACAGUUAUGAAUAACCUCUGUGUAUUAACUGUAUCCAGUGAUCUUGCUAGAUUCACUGAUAAGUCUGAUAAUUUGUAGAUUCUCUGGAAUUUUCUUUGUACAAAAUCAUAUCCUUUCUGAAUAAGAUAGUUUUACUUCUUCAUUUUUAAUAUCUGUGCCUUUUAUUUUGCUUGCCUAAUUCACUAGCUAGGACUUCUCUAAAGUUGGCUAAAAGUAGUGAUGGGGAGGAAUAAUAAGACAGGUAUAGUUUGAAGGUGAGAAAAAUAUGGUAUGAAAUAUAGAAACUGAAGGGACCAAAUCCAAUAUCUCAAGUCCUAUAUAUGGCUCUAGGAGAAAGAACGCUGUCUCUUGAGCAGUUUUGGUGAGGCAGAUUCUGUGGUUGUAUUAACAAACCUCUGUUACCCAGAACUGAGUUAAUGAUUCUUAUGGGUUUUCUUUUUUUUCUCUAGUGACCUACUUGACUCCAUGAUCCAGCCUGUGAAGGAGUAACUGUUGACAGACUAUCUCAGAAUCACUUUUCCUACAACCCUCUUCUGUCCAAGCAAUUUCCACGAAUACCCUCCUUUUUGUUGUUGUUGUUCACUCAUUAGACAGCUGUUUAUUAAUGGCUGCUAUGUGCUAGGCACUUUAGUAGGCACUGGGAAAUAAAUUGACAAAAUAGAUGCAACUCUAUCUUUGCUGAGCUUAUUAUCUUCUGAUUUUCAGUGGAAACUCAUAGAAAACCUUCAUUUGUGGAUUUGAAAAAAAAGCUAUCUAAUUUUUGAUAUCAUUGGAAGUCUGGAGUUAUUUAUAUCACUGGAGGUCUGGAGUUAUUUGAUGUUAGGAUUAGUGCACAAAAUGUUAUUAAAGACACACGAUUUCUAUCUGCCCUCUCUACCAUCCUCAGGCUGUUGGCUUUGAAUAUCUUAAGACCACUAUGGCUACUAUAUUUAUAAACGUUGUAACUUCCUACCAAAAUAUUCCAAAAAAUGAGAAAGUGAAAUGGCAGCUUUUUCUUUUUAUAUUUGCCUGUUUUCUCUAAAUGUAAAAUCAUUUCUAGAGGUUCUCUUGAAGACCUUCUCUAUGUUUCAAUUGCAGGAAUUUUACCACAUGGUCACCCUUAGCUAUGUGAAGGGCAGAAAACAUGAGUGUCUGGCACAGAGAUGUGGAUUUACCAUGGUCGACUUAGAAUAGCCACAGUGAGUCCGCUAGAGCUAUUUAUAUUGUCACCCCAAACCAAACUGGGGUGCUAUUAGCAAUGGGAAAAAAAAGGAAGGCCAGGCGCAGUGGCUUAAGCAUGUAAUCCCAGCACUUUGGGAGGCCGAGGUGGGUGGGUCACUUGAGGUCAGAAGUUUGCAACUAGUCUGGCCAACAUGGUGAAACCCGGUCGCUACAAAAAUGCAAAAAUUAGCUGUGCAUGAUGGCAGUGUCUGUGAUCCCAGUUACUUGGGAGUCUGAAGCAGGAGAAUUUUUGAACCUGAGAGGUAGAGGUUGCAGCGACCUGAGAUUGUGCCAUUGCACUCCAGCCUGAGUGACAGGGUGAGAUUCUUCUCAAAAAGUUAAAAAAAAAAGAAAAAGAAAAAUAAAUAAAAAAGGAAAUGGCCAAUAGAUAAGCAGUGAGCUCCAUAACUGUAGAAAUCACUCUUGUUUUGUUCAACGCUCUAUGCCCAGGUCCGAGCCUAAUGCCUGGGACACAAAAAGUACUUUAAAAAUUAUUGAAUUAAUGGUUGGUAAUUGGUAAAUAUAUAUUUAAUACAUAAAUGAUAAAUGAAUGACUAAUAAAUGAAUUAAAAAGUAUAACCUUUUACUCAUUGUUCAUGAUUCAAACUGGGGGAUAUUCAAAGGUUUAAGAAGCCCUUUGGGAUUUAAACAAGAGCUUGCAUCAAUUGCUAAAAAAAAAUAUUAUCCUAGAAUAACGCAAAUA